rnacentral:rRNA from 1 species
AGAUUGAACGCUGGCGGCAGGCCUAACACAUGCAAGUCGAGCGGCAGCACGGGUACUUGUACCUGGUGGCGAGCGGCGGACGGGUGAGUAAUGCCUAGGAAUCUGCCUGGUAGUGGGGGAUAACGCUCGGAAACGGACGCUAAUACCGCAUACGUCCGUACGGGAGAAAGCAGGGGACCUUCGGGCCUUGCGCUAUCAGAUGAGCCUAGGUCGAUUAGCUAGUUGGUGGGUAAUGGCCUACAAGGCUUCGGACGGGUA